rnacentral:rRNA from 1 species
AGCGUAGACGGAUGGACAAGUCUGAUGUGAAAGGCUGGGGCUCAACCCCGGGACUGCAUUGGAAAUUGCCCGUCUUGAGUGCCGGAGAGGUAAGCGGAAUUCCUAGUGUAGCGGUGAAAUGCGUAGAUAUUAGGAGGAACACCAGUGGCGAAGGCGGCUUACUGGACGGUAACUGACGUUGAGGCUCGAAAGCGUGGGGAGCAAACA